AUGGCCAGGCCAAGGCAGCUGGUCCAGGCUACGGUGAUCCUCCUCCUAGCGACAUGGUUCCUCCGGAGCUCGUCAGCUCCGGUCAUGCUUGCGCCCCCGCCGCCACCACAACCACCGGACACCCUCUGCAUCCCCUAUGAGCGGGAUGCACUUCGUGCGUUCAAGGCUAGCCUCACCGACCCGGGCAACUACCUCUCUUCAUGGCGAGACGAGGACUGUUGCCGAUGGAUAGGCAUCGAGUGCAGCAACCGAACCGGCCACGUCAUCAAGCUUGAGCUCGACGGGUCUAACACCAUGGGUUGGCCUAUGGGAGGUGAGAUAAACCCCUCCUUGCUUACUCUACGACAUCUGAGGCACCUUGAUCUCUCGUUCAACGACUUUGGUGGCAUGCCCAUUCCGGACUUCAUCGGCGGCCUCCGGAGCCUUAGGCAUCUCCUCCUCCCCAACUCGUUUUUCGGCGGGAAAAUCCCUCCGCAGCUUGGAAACCUCUCCAACCUGCUCAUCCUUGACCUCUCAAAUCAGUUGCACAGUUGUUACUCGCCUGAUCUCGCAUGGGUCUCGCAGCUAUGGAAGCUACAAUACCUUGGCAUGUCUCAGGUGGACCUCAGCGCCGCCGUUGACUGGGCUCAUGUUGUUAACAUGCUCCCCUCCCUCGUAACUCUUGAACUACAAUCUUGCGGGCUUCGGAGCACUAUGCCUCCACCGUUGAACUCCAACCUCACAUCACUAGAGAACCUCUACCUCGGCUCCAACUCCUUUAACUCGUCCUUUGGAGCCAACUACUUGGCUUGGGAUCUACCUGCUCUUAGAAUUCUUAAAAUGCAUAGUUGCGGAAUCUGGGGUCCUAUCCCGGCCGCGGUCGGAAACUUUACCUACAUCCAAUCCUUGUUCCUUGACAAUAACAACUUCUCCGGCAUGGUGCCAUCUACCUUCAAGAAACUAAAGAAACUACAAAUGCUCAGGUUGUCACAUAACCUCAUUAGCGGGGGCAUAGAAGAUCUAUUGCAUAGAUUGCCAACAAAUGAGUUACAAGAGUUGCACUUGCAGCACAAUAAGUUGGCAGGGAGAAUCCCGAAUCGGUUAGAUCACUUUACCAGCUUGUCCACACUUCGUCUCAAUGACAACAAACUAUUUGGAGAAGUACCAGUCAGCAUACGGGAACUCACAAAUUUAAAGGAGUUGCGGUUAAACUCAAACAACCUACAUGGUACAAUCACUGAAGACCAUUUCUCAAACCUGACUAGGCUAGAAGUCUUGUGGCUCUCCAAUAAUUCCUUAACUAUGUUGGUUGACAACACAUGGAACACUCCAUUCAAAUUAACUUCAGCGAGCUUUAGAUCUUGCAUCCUAGGACCACAUUUUCCAACAUGGAUUGGCCAAAGAACACUCGGCACUCUUGAUAUUUCAAACACUAGUAUACAUGAUUCCAUUCCUGAUGAGUUUUGGAUCGCAGUUUCCCGUGCUAGAAUUUUGGAUUUGUCAGGAAAUCGAAUUGUUGGCAGACUUCCCCCAUUUUCAUUGUUUGGUGGAUUGGGGGCUAUUUUACUGGACAUCAGUUCUAACCAGCUUGUUGGCCCCAUUCCAACACUUCCAAAGAGCCUUCUCUACUUGGACCUCUCAGGGAACAACCUAUCAGGUGAACUGCCAUCAGAUAUUGGAGCACCAGAGCUGCAAGUACUCAUGCUCUUAAAGAAUUCCUUUUAUGGCACAAUUCCAUGCUCCCUGUUUGAGUUGGAACAAUUGAAGUCCUUAGACCUAUCGAAGAACCAACUAAAUGAGACAUUGCUGGAUUGCCCUCACGCACCAGAAACUUCCAAUAUUUUCAUGCUUAGCUUGAAUAACAACAACCUUUCGGGAGAAUUUCCAUCGUUUCUUCAGAGGUGUAAAGAGCUGAAAUUCCUUGAUCUGGCAUACAAUCAAUUUUCUGGGGUCUUGCCGACGUGGAUCGGUUCAAAGUUACCAUACUUGGCAUUUAUGCGGUUGCGGUCAAACAUGUUCUCUGGUGGUAUCCCUGUUGAACUCACCAGGAUGAAGGGGCUUCAGUAUUUAGACAUUGCAAGUAAUAACAUCUCAGGGGACAUACCACUAUCACUUGGGAAUCUCGUGGCUAUGGCUCAUACUCCCAACCAACAAGACGCCCUUUUCCAGAUUGUCCACUUUCGAUUGGCUUCCACAUAUAUGUUCCUCAUCGAUCCCUCUGAUAUGGAUAGUUUGGUGGUGGUCACAAAGGGUCAACAGCUCGAAUACACAACAGGAAUCGCGUACAUGGUAAACAUUGAUUUUUCCUGCAACAGAUUAAUAGGGAAGAUUCCUCAGGAAAUCGGCAUGCUUGUAGCAUUAACAAACCUAAAUUUGUCCUGGAAUCAUCUCAGCGGCAUGAUCCCCCAAACUAUUGGUGAGCUACAGGCAGUGGAGUCUUUCGACCUCUCUCAUAACGAGCUCUCUGGUGAAAUCCCUACAAGUUUGGCAUCUCUAACAUCGUUGGCUCAUUUGAACUUGUCAUAUAACAAUCUAACGGGAACUAUACUAUCUGGAAAUCAGUUAAGGACUCUGGAUGACCAGCCAUCCAUCUAUAUUGGGAACCCGGGCCUCUGUGGUCCACCUGUAUCAAGCAACUGUUCAGGAACUGGAAUCACCCGACGGGCUCUUGAAGAUGAUCAUGAGGGCAUGAGCGAUGUGUUGUCACUAUACCUCGGUAUUGGCACCGGGUUUUUAGCUGGUCUCUGGAUUGUCUUUUGUGGCUUCUUGUUCAAGCAGAAUUGGAGAAUUCGUUGGUUCUCGUUUUGUGACAGCGCAUAUGAUUGGAUUAUUAUGUGA
rnacentral:rRNA from 1 species